rnacentral:rRNA from 1 species
UACGGGGGGGCGGAAGCGUUGUUCGGAAUUACUGGGCGUAAAGGGCUCGUAGGCGGCCAACUAAGUCAGACGUGAAAUCCCCAGGCUCAACUUGGGAACUGCGUCUGAUACUGGUUGGCUUGAAUUCGGGAGAGGGAUGCAGAAUUCCAGGUGUAGCGGUGAAAUGCGUAGAUAUCUGGAGGAAUACCGGUGGCGAAGGCGGCAUCCUGGACCGAGAUUGACACUGAUGAGCGAAAGCCAGGGGGAGCAAACGGG